rnacentral:rRNA from 1 species
GAUGAACGCUGGCGGCGUGCCUAAUACAUGCAAGUCGAGCGAACGGACGAGAAGCUUGCUUCUCUGAUGUUAGCGUCGGACGGGUGAGUAACACGUGGAUAACCUACCUAUAAGACUGGGAUAACUUCGGGAAACCGGAGCUAAUACCGGAUAAUAUUUUGAACCGCAUGGUUCAAAAGUGUAAGACGGUCUUGCUUUCACUUAUAGAUGGAUCGGCGCUGCAUUAGCUAGUUGGUAAGGUAACGGCUUCCCAAGGCAACGAUGCAUAGCCGACCUGAGAGGGUGCUCGGCCCACCUGAACCUGAGAACCGGUCCAGACCCCUACGGGAGGCAGCAGUAGGGAAUCUUCCGCAAGGGGCGAAAGCCUGACGGAGCAACGCCGCGUGAGUGAUGAAGGUCUUCGGAUCGUAAAUCUCUGUUAUUAGGGAAGAACAUAUGUGUAAGUAACUGUGCACAUCUUGACGGUACCUAAUCAGAAAGCCACGCCUAACUACGU